UACCAGCACCCCGAGUGGUCGGGACGAUUAUUGGGCCUAAAGCAUCCGUAGCCGGUUUUACAAGUCCUCCGUUAAAUCCAGCUGCUUAACAGAUGGGCUGCGGAGGAUACUAUAAAACUAGGAGGCAGGAGAGGCAAGCGGUACUCAGUGGGUAGGGGUAAAAUCCGUUGAUCCAUUGAAGACCACCAGUGGCGAAGGCGGCUUGCCAGAAUGCGCUCGACGGUGAGGGAUGAAAGCUGGGGGAGCAAACCGG
rnacentral:rRNA from 1 species